rnacentral:snRNA from 1 species
AAUUAAAGUAGCAGAAAUUAUUUGAGUUGAAAUGAUACAGAGAAGAUUAGGCGAUUAGGAUGGCCCCUGCACAAAGAUGACAUGCAGAAAUCGAGAAAUCAUCCAAAUUUUU